rnacentral:rRNA from 1 species
CAAUAGCGUAUAUUAAAGUUGUUGCGGUUAAAAAGCUCGUAGUUGGAUUUCUGCCGAGGACGUCCGGUCCACCCUCUGGGUGUGUACAUGGCACGGCCUGGGCAUCUUCUUGGGGUACGUAUCUGCACUUGACUGUGUGGUGCGGAAUCCAGGACUUUUACUUUGAGGAAAUUAGAGUGUUCAAAGCAGGCUUUCGCUUGAAUACAUUAGCAUGGAAUAAUAAGAUAGGACUUUGGUGCUAUUUUGUUGGUUGAGCCUAAAGUAAUGAUUAAUAGGGAUAGUUGGGGGCACCUGUAUUGCGUUGUCAGAGGUGAAAUUCUUGGAUUUACGCAAGACAAACAGCUGCGAAAGCGUCUGCCAAGGAUGUUUUCAUUAA